rnacentral:rRNA from 1 species
AGUGAACGCUGGCGGUAGGCCUAACACAUGCAAGUCGAACGGCAGCACAGUAAGAGCUUGCUCUUACGGGUGGCGAGUGGCGGACGGGUGAGGAAUACAUCGGAAUCUACUUUUUCGUGGGGGAGAACGUAGGGAAACUUACGCUAAUACCGCAUACGACCUACGGGUGAAAGCAGGGGAUCUUCGGACCUUGCGCGAUUGAAUGAGCCGAUGUCGGAUUAGCUAGUUGGCGGGGUAAAGGCCCACCAAGGCGACGAUCCGUAGCUGGUCUGAGAGGAUGAUCAGCCACACUGGCACUGAGACACGGUCCAGACUCCUACGGGAGGCAGCAGUGGGGAAUAUUGGACAAUGGGCGCAAGCCUGAUCCAGCCAUACCGCGUGGGUGAAGAAGGCCUUCGGGUUGUAAAGCCCUUUUGUUGGGAAAGACAAGCAGCAGGUUAAUAACCCGCUGUUCUGACGGUACCCAAAGAAUAAGCACCGGCUAACUUCGUG